rnacentral:rRNA from 1 species
CUACGGGAGGCAGCAGUGAGGAAUAUUGGGCAAUGGGGGAAACCCUGACCCAGCAAUGCCGCGUGCGGGAAGACGCCUUUCGGGGUGUAAACCGCUUUUCUGCAUGAAGAGGAAGGACGGUAGUGCAGGAAUAAGUCACGGCUAACUACGUGCCAGCAGCCGCGGUAACACGUAGGAUCCAAGCGUUAUCCGGAUUUACUGGGCGUAAAGCGCGUGUAGGCGGCUUGGUUAGUUGGAUGUGAAAGCUCCUGGCCCAACCGGGAGACGUCGUUCAAUACUGCCAGGCUUGAGGACGGUAGAGGAAGGUGGAAUUCCGGGUGUAGUGGUGAAAUGCGUAGAUAUCCGGAGGAACACCAGUGGCGAAGGCGGCCUUCUGGGCCGUCCCUGACGCUCAGACGCGAAAGCUAGGGUAGCGAACGGGAUUAGAAACCCCUGUAGUCC